rnacentral:rRNA from 1 species
UCUUUCUUUGCUGGCGACCGGCGCACGGGUGAGUAACACGUAUCCAACCUGCCCUUUACUCGGGGAUAGCCUUUCGAAAGAAAGAUUAAUACCCGAUAGCAUAAUGAUUCCGCAUGGUUUCAUUAUUAAAGGAUUCCGGUAAAGGAUGGGGAUGCGUUCCAUUAGGUUGUUGGUGAGGUAACGGCCCACCAAGCCUUCGAUGGAUGGGGGUUCUGAGAGAAAGGUCCCCCACAUUGGAACUGAGACACGGUCCAA